GAAUUUUGGACAAUGGGCGAAAGCCUGAUCCAGCAAUGCCGCGUGCAGGAUGAAGGCCUUCGGGUUGUAAACUGCUUUUGUACGGAACGAAAAGCUUUGGGUUAAUACCCUGGAGUCAUGACGGUACAGUAAGAAUAAGAACAGGCUAACUACGUGACAGCAGCAGCGGUAAUACGUAGGGUGCAAGCGUUAAUCGGAAUUACUGGGCGUAAAGCUUGCGCAUGCAGUUUUGUAAUACAGAGGUGAAAUCCCCGUGCUCAACCUUUGAACUGCCUUUUUGACUGCAAUGCUAUAGUACAGCAGAGGGGGGUGGAAUUCCGCGUGUAGCAGUGAAAUGCGUAGAUAUGCGGAGGAACACCGAUAGCGAAGGCAACCCCCUGGGCCUGUACUGACGCUCAUGCACGAAAGCGUGGGGAGCAAACA
rnacentral:rRNA from 1 species